GACAGAGGUCCCAAGCGUUAGGCGGAAUCACUGGGCUUAAAGCGUGUGUAGGCGGAUCCGUAAGUACCUUGUGAAAUCCCACGGCUCAACCGUGGAACUGCUGGGUAUACUGCGGGUCUUGAGCCACCUAGGGGCGAGCGGAACAAGUGGUGGAGCGGUGAAAUGCGUAGAUAUCACUUGGAACGCCAAUGGUGAAAACAGCUCGCUGGGGGUGUGCUGACGCUGAGACCCGAAAGCCAGGGGAGCAAACGGG
rnacentral:rRNA from 1 species